GAUGUAAACAUUUAUUUAUCACUUCAUCGUCUGAGAUAUUUAAUUUAUCAACCAGCGUAUUCACUUCUAAACAUGUCAAAGUAAUAAAAUAGACAAUAUUAUUGCUUAAGUGUAUGAGAGAAUUAAUUCACACAGACGAAACCCGUCACUUUUUAACUGCAGUGAAUGUGAUGAUGUCAACUGCUUACAACCGUCUCUUCCCACGGGUCUGGCAUUAGUUUAUUCAUGUGUUUUUGUAAAUCUAUAGCCAUGAGUAAGCUCCGGAGCUUUUGGGAUAACUAUAAAGUCUUGAUUGUUAUGGGCUCUGGCCUUGGCUUGGUUCACUGGGGUUGGUACUCGAUCAAAUCCAAUCCACUGCUGAAGAAGAGCAGGGAGGAAUAUAUCCCCGAGCCGGGCAUCGUGUCGUUCAUCGACCCGUCCCCGCCUCCACUGCCUCCUCUGCCCGAGAAGAGUCGAAAGAGAGAGAGCAAAGCCAAGGAGUAACUGCAGCUGCUGCUCGAGGUCCUGAGCUGCACCUCCCCUUGAGGACAGAGAAGAUGAGAAACCAGAGCUGGCUUAGGAAAAACUGGAUUUGGGUUGCCGGCGGUGCGUUUUCUGGCAUCCAUUUUAGCACAUGGCUCCUACAGAAGGCGAUGAAGAGUUCGGUGCGCACAGAACAGCAGAUCAAAAGCAAGACGCCUUCAGAGGAGUGACGUGAAAUUCUAUAUGCAUUUGAGUGUUUACGUGUGGUUGUUGUCUGUCUGGUGACAAAUGAAAAUUAAACACUCUUGUUUCUGAUAUGGAAAUCAUUUGAAAGUAAUUCAAUUUUAAUUCUAAUCUAUCGCCAUGAAGCAUUUAGUAAAGGGAAAACAAUAGUGGUGCGUAUCGACCACAUUCAGAGAAAUGCUUCAUAUCAGUGGACUUUGAAUGAUUCAUGUUUGAGCACCAAUGACACGUGACCGAUGUCAUAAUCAAUUAUGACUGAUGAAUAUUUUUAUGACGGGUCCAUGCUCAAAUGUGAAUAUGUAUAUAAAUGACCAUUCUCCACUAUGUACAGAUGUAAACAUGAGUUUUUAUUGGUGUAUUUAAAAAUAAUAAAUACAAACCUUCAGAAAUGUC